ACAGAAUGCUUAACACAUGCAAGUCUACUUGAAUUUGGGUUUUUUAACUUCGAUUUGGGUGGCGGACGGGUGAGUAACGCGUAAAGAACUUGCCUCACAGCUAGGGACAACAUUUGGAAACGAAUGCUAAUACCUGAUAUUAUGAUUAUAGGGCAUCCUAGAAUUAUGAAAGCUAUAUGCGCUGUGAGAGAGCUUUGCGUCCCAUUAGCUAGUUGGAGAGGUAACGGCUCACCAAGGCGAUGAUGGGUAGCCGGCCUGAGAGGGUGAACGGCCACAAGGGGACUGAGACACGGCCCUUACUCCUACGGGAGGCAGCAGUGGGGAAUAUUGGACAAUGGACCGAGAGUCUGAUCCAGCAAUUCUGUGUGCACGAUGACGUUUUUCGGAAUGUAAAGUGCUUUCAGUUGGGAAGAAAAAAAUGACGGUACCAACAGAAGAAGUGACGGCUAAAUACGUGCCAGCAGCCGCGGUAAUACGUAUGUCACGAGCGUUAUCCGGAUUUAUUGGGCGUAAAGCGCGUCUAGGUGGUUAUGUAAGUCUGAUGUGAAAAUGCAGGGCUCAACUCUGUAUUGCGUUGGAAACUGUGUAACUAGAGUACUGGAGAGGUAAGCGGAACUACAAGUGUAGAGGUGAAAUUCGUAGAUAUUUGUAGGAAUGCCGAUGGGGAAGCCAGCUUACUGGACAGAUACUGACGCUGAAGCGCGAAAGCGUGGGUAGCAAACAGGAUUAGAUACCCUGGUAGUCCACGCCGUAAACGAUGAUUACUAGGUGUUGGGGGUCGAACC
rnacentral:rRNA from 1 species